GAGUUGUAAUUUAGAGAAGUGUUACCCGCGCUGACCGUGUACAAGUCUCCUCGAACGGAGCAUCAUAGAGGGUGAGAAUCCCGUAUAUGACACGGACUCCCAGGGCUUUGUGGUAUGCUCUCGAUGAGUCGAGUUGUUUGGGAAUGCAGCUCUAAAUGGGUGGUAAAUUCCAUCUAAAGCUAAAUAUAGGCGAGAGACCGAUAGCGAACAAGUACCGUGAGGGAAAGAUGAAAAGAACUUUGGAAAGAGAGUUAAACAGUACGUGAAAUUGUUGAAAGGGAAACGCUUAAAGUCAGUCGCGUCUCUCAGAGAUCAACCUAGCCUUUUCGCUUGGUGCACUCUCUGUUGGAUGGGUCAGCAUCAAUUUUGACUGGGGGAAAAAGUUGGUAGGGAUGUGGCACCCUCGUGGUGUGUUAUAACCUAUUUGCAUAUACCUCUGUUGGGAUUGAGGAACUCAGCAUGCCGAAAGGCCGGACUUUUAGUCACGUACGUGCUUAGGAUGCUGGCAUAAUGUCUUUAAUCGACCCGUCUUGAAACACGGACCAAGGAGUCUAACAUGCCCGCGAGUGUUUGGGUGAAAAACCCAAGUGCGUAAUGAAAGUGAAAGUUGAGACCUCUGUCGUGGAGGGCAUCGACGCCCGGAUCAGAUCUUUUGGGACGAUUCCGAGGUAGAGCGUG
rnacentral:rRNA from 1 species